AGUGAACGCUGGCGGCAGGCCUAACACAUGCAAGUCGAACGGCAGCACAGUAAGAGCUUGCUCUUACGGGUGGCGAGUGGCGGACGGGACAGGAAUAUAUCGGAAUCUACUUUUUCGUGGGGGAUAACGUAGGGAAACUUACGCUAAUACCGCAUACGACCUACGGGGGAAAGCAGGGGAUCUUCUGACCUUGCGCGAUUGAAUGAGCCGAUGUCGGAUUAGCUAGUUGGCGGGGUAAAGGCCCACCAAGGCGACGAUCCGUAGCUGGUCUGAGAGGAUGAUCAGCCACACUGGAACUGAGACACGGUCCAGACUCCUACGGGAGGCAGCAGUGGGGAAUAUUGGACAAUGGGCGCAAGCCUGAUCCAGCCAUACCGCGUGAGUGAAGAAGGCCUUCGGGUUGUAAAGCCCUUUUGUUGGGAAAGAAAAGCAGCAGGUUAAUACCCCGCUGUUCUGACGGUACCCAAAGAAUAAGCACCGGCUAACUUCGUG
rnacentral:rRNA from 1 species